UAAUACAUCGGAACGUACCCAGUAGUGGGGGAUAGCUCGGCGAAAGCCGGAUUAAUACCGCAUACGCACUACGGUGGAAAGCGGGGGAUCGCAAGACCUCGCGCUAUUGGAGCGGCCGAUGGCUGAUUAGCUAGUUGGUGGGGUAAAAGCUCACCAAGGCGACGAUCAGUAGCUGGUCUGAGAGGACGACCAGCCACACUGGGACUGAGACACGGCCCAG
rnacentral:rRNA from 1 species